rnacentral:lncRNA from 1 species
AGCAAUUGCAGCAGAGAAGACUGUGAGAGAUCGUGAGCUGCUGCCGCCAUGAUUCUGUAACAACAACUUCCUUGGUGAUCGGAGCCUGUAUGCUGCAGGCCCCCUGGUGGGCCUGUCAUCUCAAAAAAAGAUGCUUCAGUAAUCCAAAAGUUUGGACUCCAGUAUACUUCAGGCCAGGAAAGAAGCCAGCCUCCAUGAGUGAAAGAACAAAGGAAAAAUUACAUUGGAAAAAUAUGUGCCUCAUUUGGGAGAAAUGAACCUAAACUUCUAAGGCGUCCACCAUCUCCACCCCUCUUUUUUGAUUUUUGCAUAGCGAUGUUUUACAACUCCAGGUGGUAGUCAAAGGCAGAGCUCUUCCCAGAAAAGCCAUACAUGUUUUUGAGUCUUACAUCUGUGAAGUUAGCAGGCGUUAUAGCACAGAUUGAGCACACCUAGGAUAAGAACACAGAAGCCACAGAUGACAAUGCCAAAUGGACUUUCCCCUGAACUUAUGGACCCACUAAAAUUGAGGUUUAACCUGACCUCAGGCCAUUUGACUCCCUGCCCAUCCUGCUGAUUCUUAUGUUUGCUAGGAGUAAAGUAUCAAGGGGCAACCCCCAAUAUCCUCAUGCCUGGACUUGGAAAUUAAGGAAGACAGAUAUUGGAGAAGUGAUGGCUAUCGGGCUACAAUAUAGUAACACGCAGUCCAGGUUGAUAUUUACUCACUGAU